UAUGAGAUGACAUGCUUCUUUAUAUCCCCAUAUGGACUAGGCUGCUAUGGAAUGUAAGGAAGUGUGUGGUUUCAGG
rnacentral:pre_miRNA from 1 species